rnacentral:rRNA from 1 species
CCAGACUCCUACGGGAGGCAGCAGCUAAGAAUAUUCCGCAAUGGACGGAAGUCUGACGGAGCGACGCCGCGUGGAUGAAGAAGGCUGAAAAGUUGUAAAAUCCUUUUGUUGAUGAAGAAUAAGGGUGAGAGGGAAUGCUCAUCUGAUGACGGUAAUCGACGAAUAAGCCCCGGCUAAUUACGUGCCAGCAGCCGCGGUAACACGUAAGGGGCGAGCGUUGUUCGGAAUUAUUGGGCGUAAAGGGCAUGUAGGCGGUUAUGUAAGCCUGAUGUGAAAUCCUGGGGCUUAACCCCAGAAUAGCAUUGGGUACUGUGUAACUUGAAUUACGGAAGGGAAACUGGAAUUCCAAGUGUAGGGGUGGAAUCUGUAGAUAUUUGGAAGAACACCGGUGGCGAAGGCGGGUUUCUGGCCGAUAAUUGACGCUGAGAUGCGAAAGUGUGGGGAUCGAACAGGAUUAGAUACCCUGGUAGUCCACACCGUAAACGAUGUACACUAGGUGUUGGGGCAAGAGCUUCAGUGCCAAAGCAAACGCGAUAAGUGUACCGCCUGGGGAGUAUGCCCGCAAGGGUGAAACUCAAAGGAAUUGACGGGGGCCCGCACAAG